rnacentral:rRNA from 1 species
GGUUAAGUUAGAAAGGGCGCACGGUGGAUGCCUUGACACUAGGAGUCGAUGAAGGACGGGACUAACGCCGAUAUGCUUCGGGGAGCUGUAAGUAAGCUUUGAUCCGAAGAUUUCCGAAUGGGGCAACCC